GACGGGUGAGUAAUGCUUAGGAAUCUGCCUAUUAGUGGGGGACAACAUUCCGAAAGGAAUGCUAAUACCGCAUACGCCCUACGGGGGAAAGCAGGGGAUCUUCGGACCUUGCGCUAAUAGAUGAGCCUAAGUCAGAUUAGCUAGUUGGUGGGGUAAAGGCCUACCAAGGCGACGAUCUGUAGCGGGUCUGAGAGGAUGAUCCGCCACACUGGGACUGAGACACGGCCCAGACUCCUACGGGAGGCAGCAGUGGGGAAUAUUGGACAAUGGGCGAAAGCCUGAUCCAGCCAUGCCGCGUGUGUGAAGAAGGCCUUUUGGUUGUAAAGCACUUUAAGCGAGGAGGAGGCUACCGAGAUUAAUACUCUUGGAUAGUGGACGUUACUCGCAGAAUAAGCACCGGCUAACUCUGUGCCAGCAGCCGCGGUAAUACAGAGGGUGCGAGCGUUAAUCGGAUUUACUGGGCGUAAAGCGUGCGUAGGCGGCUUUUUAAGUCGGAUGUGAAAUCCCUGAGCUUAACUUAGGAAUUGCAUUCGAUACUGGGAAGCUAGAGUAUGGGAGAGGAUGGUAGAAUUCCAGGUGUAGCGGUGAAAUGCGUAGAGAUCUGGAGGAAUACCGAUGGCGAAGGCAGCCAUCUGGCCUAAUACUGACGCUGAGGUACGAAAGCAUGGGGAGCAAACAGGAUUAGAUACCCUGGUAGUCCAUGCCGUAAACGAUGUCUACUAGCCGUUGGGGCCUUUGAGGCUUUAGUGGCGCAGCUAACGCGAUAAGUAGACC
rnacentral:rRNA from 1 species